GUGCUACUUAUGUCAGAAUUAGUUCUGGUUUGCUUGUCAGGUUGGUCAAUUGGGAGGGGUCAAAGGCCUGCGACUCAGCAGCACGAGACCUCAAAUGACUCGUCUGCCAUAAGACGAAGGAGUUGUCGCUGUACAGUCAUAAUGAGCAAGUUACAGCAUUUCUAUGACGUCCAUUAUGCUGUAUUAUCAUCCAUGCAUGGCUCUUUCAGAUAGCCUUUUCUCUUGCAACUAUGCCACCAGAAUCUCUGCAUGUCAAGACUGAAGUGAAAAAUCAGUGCAUGUCAGGACUGAAGUGAAAAUCAGUGCAUGUCAGGACCGAAGUGAAAAUCAGGGCAUGUCAGGACUGAAGUGAAAAUGUGUGCAUGUCAAGACCAAAACAUUACAUGAAGAUACUAUUACAGUAUUACAGGAAGAAAUGUCAGUUUGAUGUGUGUGACCAUGUCAGACUGAUACUUAUUUGUCCAACAAACUGCCUCUCUUGCUUUCCUAUGUUUGCAUACAGGAGGGUAACACAUAUGCAUGAUAUCAUCCGACUUUGUGUCUUGCUUUGAUGCCGUGGAUGUGCAACAUCUGUUACUUUUCACUCGCUUUUCUUUAUUGACGCUACAUGUUUCGGCCCAACCCCCCAUCUUCCGGUGUACAGGUUGUUGUGAUUGUAGAAUCUGCUGCUCACUGUAACACUGUUUUGUUGCUGUUAUGUGGAGGCCUCGCGUUGCAUCUGUUUAUGUGGGUUAGUCAUCUGAUUAUUUUAUUUAGGUGUCCUUGAGCUGCUGGUGUUUGCUUCAUGGUUUUGUUUGGCUGUGGUUGUCUUGAAUGUUCUUGCUGGGGCGGGAAUUUGUUGUGUUGAUGGCCAACCACAGCACAACAAAUAUGCUCAGCUAAAGGACACCUAAACAAAAGACAGAUAGUUAACCCACAUAACCAGAUGCAAUCUGAAGCCUCUACAUAACAGAAACAGAACAGCAUUACAGUGAGCAGGAGGUUCCUUGAUCACAACAACCUGUACACAUGGAGUGACAACAAAGAGAAAACUGUGAGAGAAUGUAACUGAUGUUGCACACAGAUGGGAUCAAAACAAAAUGCAAAGUUAGAUCUAAGCAGUGCAACAGGAUGCUGCAAUGUAACAUUAUAACUGAUAUCAGUUUUUAUGUAAAAUUCAUUCAUGGUCUUCUGGCUUAUGACAUGGUUAGCAAAGUUUUCUGCUGGUCUGUUGAAGCCAGGGGCAGUAUGUUCUCUGGUAACCAUCUGCCAGCAAACACAGUGUCAUAACUUAGGAGACCAGAAUAGAUUUUUCACCAUUGUGAAAGAUUAAAAUCUGAUACUGUGUAAAAUUGUUUGUAUAUUCAAAUCUGGUGGAUACUGUAAGGAAGUAAUCACUAAACCAUA